rnacentral:lncRNA from 1 species
UUAUUUUUUGGUUUGUGAUAAAUUCGAGUUUUAAUUAGUUUGAUUUUGAUUUUGUUUUUGUGUUGUUAGGAUUGGGAAGACUUCGUUGAUGAAUCUGUAUCCUUUUGAUUGAAUAGAUCUGUGAUGUUAAUUUUUUGUUUGAUUUGUGUUUUGUUGAGGUUUGUUGAUGAAUAUGUUGUAGAUCGUGGUUUGUUAGUUUAAGUAGUCGAGAAUUUGAGUUCUCGACAGUUGCUUGGCUUGAGUUUGUUUGAAUUUUGGUUAGAGGUUGAUAUCGAGGUUGCGUGGCUCAGAUACAGGGAGAUGACAGAAGUAUAUUUCCUUCACUUUAAUUUUGUGUCUUGAUUUGUCCAAACAAGCAUGUCACCAGCAUUAGGUGUUUGCUCAACUUUACCAUGCAUUAUCACUUCAUCAUACAACUGAAACAGAACACUAUGAGUAUUAUUCCAUGUGCUAUACUGCUAUUUAUAUUCCUUGUUUUAUUGCUUACUUUUAUGUCCUAAGUGCUCAAGUCUAUGUUUGCCUAAAUAUUUAGGUUGUACUCCCUCCGUCCCAUUUUAACUGCUUUUGACUUUUUUACACGUAUUUUAAGAUGUUAAAAAAAUCACAUCUUGACAUAAUUAUUCUUUAUAAAAUUUAUAUCAAAUAAAAGUUUAGAAUCUAAACUUUUAUUUGAUAUAAGAAUUGAAUUUUUUUAUUGAGUAUAGAUAUUGUUUUUUCACAUCUC